rnacentral:rRNA from 1 species
AGAGUUUGAUCCUGGCUCAGAUUGAACGCUGGCGGCAUGCCUAACACAUGCAAGUCGAACGGUAACAGGCCGCUGUGAUCCCUUCGGGGUGAACUUGGUGCUGACGAGUGGCGGACGGGUGAGUAAUACUUAGGAAUCUGCCCAGUAGUGGGGGACAACCCGAGGAAACUCGGGCUAAUACCGCGUACGCUCUACGACUCUUCGGAACCUCGCGCUAUUGGAUGAGCCUAAGUCGGAUUAGCUUGUAGGUGGGGUAACGGCCCACCUAGGCAACGAUCCGUAGCUGGUCUGAGAGGACGAUCAGCCACACUGGGACUGAGACACGGCCCAGACUCCUACGGGAGGCAGCAGUGGGGAAUAUUGGACAAUGGGGGCAACCCUGAUCCAGCAAUGCCGCGUGUGUGAAGAAGGCCUGAGGGUUGUAAAGCACUUUCAAUAGGGAGGAUUAUGACGUUACCUACAGAAGAAGCACCGGCUAACUCUGUGCCAGCAGCCGCGGUAAUACAGAGGGUGCGAGCGUUAAUCGGAAUUACUGGGCGUAAAGCGCGCGUAGGCGGCUUAGUCAGUCGGAUGUGAAAGCCCCGGGCUUAACCUGGGAAUUGCAUUCGAUACUGCCAGGCUAGAAUGUAGUAGAGGGAAGUGGAAUUCCGGGUGUAGCGGUGAAAUGCGUAGAGAUCCGGAGGAACAUCAGUGGCGAAGGCGACUUUCUGGACAAAUACUGACGCUGAUGUGCGAAAGCGUGGGGAGCGAACAGGAUUAGAUCCCCUGGUAGUCCACGCCGUAAACGAUGAGAACUAGACGUUGGGGGGUUUAACCCCUUAGUGUCGCAGCUAACGCGUUAAGUUCUCCGCCUGGGGAGUACGGCCGCAAGGUUAAAACUCAAAGGAAUUGACGGGGACCCGCACAAGCGGUGGAGCAUGUGGUUUAAUUCGAUGCAACGCGAAGAACCUUACCUGCCCUUGACAUACUCGGAAUCCCGUAGAGAUAUGGGAGUGCUUCGAACUGAGUGACAGGUGCUGCAUGGCUGUCGUCAGCUGGUAUCGUGAGAUGUUGGGUUAAGUCCCGUAACGAGCGCAACCCUUAUCCCUAGUUGUGCACAUAAUGGUGGGAAUUCUAGGGAGACUGCCGGUGACAAACCGGAGGAAGGUGGGGACGACGUCAAGUCAUCAUGGCCCUUAUGGGUAGGGCUACACACGUGCUACAAUGGCCAGUACAGAGGGCUGCAAACUCGCGAGGGGGAGCCAAUCUCACAAAACUGGUCGUAGUCCGGAUUGGAGUCUGCAACUCGACUCCAUGAAGUCGGAAUCGCUAGUAAUCGCAGAUCAGAAUGCUGCGGUGAAUACGUUCCCGGGCCUUGUACACACCGCCCGUCACACCAUGGGAGUUGGCUGCAAAAGAAGUGGGUAGUUUAACCUUCGGGAGAACGCUCACCACUUUGUGGUCAAUGACUGGGGUGAAGUCGUAACAAGGUA